rnacentral:rRNA from 1 species
GACGAACGCUGGCGGCGUGCUUAACACAUGCAAGUCGAACGGAAAGGCCCUGCUUUUGUGGGGUGCUCGAGUGGCGAACGGGUGAGUAACACGUGAGUAACCUGCCCCUGCCCCUCGCCUCACUUCCCGCACCCCCCGCUCACACCCGCUACGCGCCCCCCCUCCAUGGCGCGGGUUGGCAAGUUCCGGCGGUUGGGGCCGGACUCGCGGCUUAUCAGCUUGUUGGUGGGGUAGUGGCUUACCAAGGCUUUGACGGGUAGCCGGCCUGCGAGGGUGACCGGCCACAUUGGGACUGAGGUACGGCCCAGACUCCUACGGGAGGCAGCAGUGGGGAAUAUUGCACAAUGGGCGGAAGCCUGAUGCAGCAACGCCGCGUGCGGGAUGACGGCCUUCGGGUUGUAAACCGCUUUCGCCUGUGACGAAGCGUGAGUGACGGUAAUGGGUAAAGAAGCACCGGCUAACUACGUG